GUAGGGCGCAAGCGUUGUCCGGAAUUAUUGGGCGUAAAGAGCUCGUAGGCGGUUUGUCGCGUCUGUCGUGAAAGCCCACGGCUUAACCGUGGGUCUGCGGUGGAUACGGGCAGACUAGAGGCAGGUAGGGGAGAAUGGAAUUCCCGGUGUAGCGGUGAAAUGCGCAGAUAUCGGGAGGAACACCGGUGGCGAAGGCGGUUCUCUGGGCCUGUUCUGACGCUGAGGAGCGAAAGCGUGGGGAGCGAACAGGAUUAGAUACCCUGGUAGUCCACGCCGUAAACGUUGGGCGCUAGGUGUGGGGUUCUUCCACGGAUUCCGCGCCGUAGCUAACGCAUUAAGCGCCCCGCCUGGGGAGUACGGCCGCAAGGCUA
rnacentral:rRNA from 1 species